rnacentral:rRNA from 1 species
CCUACGGGUUGCAGCAGUGAGGAAUAUUGGUCAAUGGCCGGAAGGCUGAACCAGCCAUGUCGCGUGAAGGUCAGUGCCCCAUGGGCGUUAAACUUCUUUUGUGCGGGAGCAAUAAUGGUCACGUGUGGCCAGACGAAAGUAACGUACGAAUAAGGAUCGGCUAACCACGUGCCAGCAGCCGCGGUAAGACGGGGGAUGCAAGCGUUAUCCGGAUUUAUUGGGUUUAAAGGGUGCGUAGGCGGAAUGGCAAGUCAGCGGUAAAAUGGCGGGGCUCAAACUCGCUCCGCCGUUGAAACUGGCGUUCUUGAGUGAGCGAGAAGUAUGCGGAAUGCGUGGUGUAGCGGUGAAAUGCAUAGAUAUCACGCAGAACUCCGAUUGCGAAGGCAGCAUACCGGCGCCCAACUGACGCUGAAGCACGAAAGCGUGGGUAUCGAACAGGAUUAGAUACCCCAGUAGUC